rnacentral:sRNA from 1 species
UACCACUGAGCUAAAUCCCCAACCUAAGACUCAGAUUUUUUAUUCUUAGACAAACACAAAUUUUUUUCUAAUGGGCAAAAAUCAUCUGAGAUGGCCAACGGGGAAUGUUUUACCUAACCACGUCAGAAUUUUAACUCAGCAAAAUCUUAAAAUGGAUCAACAUUUUCGCUUUUCAUCUUGCUCCUUCCUAUGAUACUGUUUCAUUUGAUCUGUACAGAUUGAGAGGCCGUAAAUCAUUCCUUCCUGACUCUUCUUCCCCUCUGUCCUGCCUUGUAAAUGUUUUUCUUUAUUCACUGUCAUCUGUGAACAUUUAAUCUGGUGUACUGUCUUUCUCCCUGUCCUUUUAUUACCCUCAAUUAGUGUUUAGAGGGGGACUUCAUUAGCUUUGUCCUGUGGCUGGACAUGGCAGCUGAAAGUGAGCUACAAAUGGUGCUAGACUUGCUCUUCCCUUUCUUCCCUUCUCUGUGGAAGUCCCCCCAGUUUCUCAGAGAUAUAGGUGUGAAGCCCUGAGCCAGCACACUCACAGGCAGAAAAGUGUGUUUAAGCAUUUCAGAAGGAAGGAUGUGAACUCCUUUAUGGACUGACAGAAGUGCAUUGCCCAUGAGUUCACACAGAUGGUGCUCUGAAGUCAUUCCUGAUGCCUUCUGUAAGUAGUUUCGUAAGCUUAAUGAAGUAGCUAGAAUAACUCUUUUAAUUAUUUCAUUACAUUUAUAUAAUCAAAUUGACUUAUUCUAACUUCAGUAUUAUCAACUGCACAGCAGUGCAGUAUACAAACACACACUAUCUAGCAUCAUGCUUAGAAGGCAAAGGGAAACCUUCUUUGAAAUGGUUUUGUAUCUCUUGAAUUGAUAAUAUAAACAAAAUGGACGAAACCAAAGUAAGUGUAUAUUCCCCGGAUAUUUUCUGCUUCUCAUUAGAUGAUCAUAACUCAUACUGUUCCUAGACACUACUCAGAGUGCUGCCAUUCUAUUAAUGGUCGUAUGGUAAGUACAGGCUUUAGAGAAAAAGAAACUGUAUGUAGUGUCACUUUUAAAAUGUUUACUUUUGCAACUGACAAAACAUGCAAGCUGUUAAUAAACUGUGCACUCCUGUCCAGUAGAAUGACUGUUCGUUCUAUCAGGCCUCUCGUAGAGAGUAUGUUUGUCCCCGUGGCCCAUAGUGUCCCCCUCACCCCCAACAAAUGAAUAGGCAUUCUCAUUUGGUUUUGGCUAAACGACUUAUGUUAACACAAAAACACGGUGCAUAGCAGGAAAUUAACUCUGGCUUAAUUCUGAGUUUAAGGAAGGAAAAGCUAACACCACCAGAAUGGGUGUGCAUUUAGAAAAAAUAAUGAAUGUUGGUACAAAAAUAGCUUUGAAAAUUUGUUUUCUGAAUUGCUUCCUUCCUCGGCAGUGACGAUCAUAGCAGGCACCAGAUUCCACAUUUUAAAGUGUUGGCUUUGUUUGUUUCUGCCUCAGGGUGCUUGUGCCUCGCACUGACUUUUCUCGAUGGUGCACCUAUAUUAAAGUGUGUACGUUUUUCUUCACUGAGAUAAGAAGGUACUAUGAGGCUGCUGGGUGGUGAGUCAAUAGGGCAGAGAGGUUAAUUAGAUAAUAGAUUAUGGUGCGAACUCCAGAUGAUCAAAAUACCAUAUGGAGAACUGGUUACGCAUAAUGAGAAUUAUUUUAAAGGCCUGCGUAUUCUAUACUAUGGGAAAGGUUUGUGGUAAUUUUACUAUUUUUCCUUGUUCUUACAGAGACCGUUCUCUUUGGAAGCGUGUCUGAGCAAUUGCACACUGAAAUAGUAGGUUUUACAUUAUGCUUCUAGGAAACUAUUCUGUUGGGAGCUCAACCAAGAUGUUCUGCUGCUAAAAAUAAAAUAAUAACAGAUUUUUCUAAACUGUGACUAAAAACAAGUUAGGAAAAAUACAGUUUUGCCUGAAUUUCAAGCUCCUCUUCUCUGUCAUUUUACUGUCAUUGCUUCAGCUUGCCUACUGACAUGUACUAAGAAGGAUGACAAAAUGAAGGACCCCAGGGGACACACCCUGUAAGACAAACCUUGUCAUGCCAACUCUCAGAUGCACGCUUCCAACCGUUAUACACGGACAAUCCUAUUUCUGAAAUCAUAUUUCCUCUUCAUUCUUUUAAUUUAAUUUCUGUCAUAUAAAUUUUUACCAAUAUUAUAGUUUUUACAUGUUUAGGUACAUAAGCCCAACUGAAAGACACUGAAAUAAAAUGCUAUUAUUUACUCGCCUUUGUUUCUGAAUAUAAAUAGUAAGAUUUUUUUUUCAAAAUAAAAUUGGGAAAAAUAUCUGAUGGACAGGCUCAUACUCUUCAGGUUUCUGAAGUAUAGUAAAGAACACAAAGACGUGAGAAAAUACAUUAUCCCAUGUCUGUGUUGGCAGUUAUUUUCAACAAGUAAGUGAUACUAUUAAUGGCUGCAUAUCUAAUUUAGCUGGAGACCUUGAAGAUAGCCUCUGGUUUGCAUUCCAUUAAGAGUUUUUAAUAAGAUUUCAACAAAAAUAAUAAUAAAUGCAUCCCACUUCACCUUUGCUUCUCCUUAACAAUUCAAAGUAUCAAUUAUAAUAUAACCUUCAUUUGACUCACAACCAUCCCUGUACUCUCAACAGCGCAUUAAGUUGUGUGCCAACGCUUAAAGUGCAAAAUAAAUGUCUUGUUUUAUCUCGUAACUUUAGUUCCAUUUUAAAGUGACCCCUCAAAUGUCUAACACUCAAUUAAACUUUCUGUAAGAAACAAUUUUUCUAAACACUGGGCAUCUUUAAAAGCCGAAAGAUGCAUUUUCCCCAAUCUUCAAGCGGCACAGUCUCUCUGUGCAUUCUCUAGCUUCUAAUGUGCUCCCAGGAAUGCUAUUCUUGGGAUAGCAUGACUGCUCUCUGUCUGCAAGCCAUAUCUCGGGAGUCCUGACCCCAGCGCUCACAGAAAAAAAUAGGCUGAAGCCUGGUAUCAAAGAAAGGCGAGACUUACGGAAGCUUCCAGAACUCUGUCCUCCUUUAAAGAGGAGCACAGAUUAAUAAAGGAAAUAAUAGAAUUUGAAAGAUUAAGAAAAAUGAGAGCAUCCAGAAAAAAGCCAGAGGUAAAAAUGGGAAAACCACCUGACAUUUGGGAACAGAUUUCAUAGUUCUUAGGAAGAUCUCUCCUACCCAUGCUUCUUCAGUUGAUCAGCAAUAAACCAUAUGUUUUUUUCCCCAGCUGCAUUUCCCAGUGUGCUGCAGAGGAUUGAUUACAUGAAAGUGUCUGAGUUUUUACCCACAGGGCCUGUUUAUUGAGGAAGAGUCUUUCUUCUUCCCCUGGAGCCCCCUAACUCCUGGAGAAUAGCAGCGCAGGGAUGUGAUGCUUCUGGAAGACCAGCUGAGGCCAUUCAUCUGGAGGGCUGUGAAUGUUUUGGGCUCAGAUGGCUGGCUAGCUGGGAGAAGAUUAAUGAAAAGCAGAGGCUUGGAUAAAGCAGAAAUGGAUGAGUGUGCCACUCUAGUCCCAGAGAAACAGAUGGAUACCCAGACAAGGGAGGCGAUCAGAAGUUUACUCACUCAGGACUAAAUAAUUGAUACGGAGGAAAGGCCUUGGCCGUCAGCGACAAAUCCAGAUUUCAAGCUAUAUUGGGCACUGCAUUGGUGACGGUGGAGUGCCGGUGGCUGUUUUGAAUGAAUGAUACCCACCUUUCGGGGACUCUUAAUGGUAUGUUCAAUUUCAAUUUAAGGUAUUUUUAUUGAGCAUUUGAAUUAUUGAUCAGGUGAUGAGGGAUGCGCUUACAACCGAGUGUGAAGUUCCUGGUUAAGUCUGUGCUGGGUAAGGGUUUAUCUUAGGCAAAAGUUCAGCAUGGAGAAAAGCUUUUUUUUUUUUUU